UCAGUCGACUCCUACGGGGGGCAGCAGUGGGGGAAUAUUGCACAAUGGGCGCAAGCCUGAUGCAGCCAUGCCGCGUGUAUGAAGAAGGCCUUCGGGGUUGUAAAGUACUUUCAGCAGUGAGGAAGGUGGGGUAUGGUUAAUAGCAUACUCAUUUGACGUUAGCUGCAGAAGAAGCACCGGCUAACUCCGUGCCAGCAGCCGCGGUAAUACGGAGGGUGCGAGCGUUAAUCGGAAUUACUGGGCGUAAAGCGCAUGCAGGUGGUUUGUUAAGUCAGAUGUGAAAGCCCGGGGCUCAACCUCGGAAUAGCAUUUGAAACUGGCAGACUAGAGUACUGUAGAGGGGGGUAGGAAUUUCAGGUGUAGCGGUGAAAUGCGUAGAGAUCUGAAGGAAUACCGGUGGCGAAGGCGGCCCCCUGGACAGAUACUGACACUCAGAUGCGAAAGCGUGGGGAGCAAACAGGAUUAGAUACCCUGGUAG
rnacentral:rRNA from 1 species